GCCACGCUGGCCCAACGGAAGAGGCAUCCGGCUUAAGAUCGGACAGUUGAGGGUUCGACUCCCUCGCGUGGCA
rnacentral:tRNA from 1 species